UUUUCCUUUCGAAGAAAUCCUGUCAUCCCUUAGAAUAGAAGAGCUCCUAGAUGGCGGACAGGGGACGGUGGGUGUACAUAAAUAUUUAUUUCGGUGAAUGAAUAACGUUUAGUCAUCAACAUGUCGGUCAAAUUUAAUGGCAGGCAGCCCGACAUGUUAAUAGCUUGCUGUAAAAUAUGGAUUGCGCAACGCGCGGAAUCAUGACUCCACGAGUCCGCAUUAAUUAUUGGGAGAAUUAUGCGAGGCAAGGCGUUUACAUACUUGUUAACGUUUACUCAAUCGUAAAUAUACCGUGGCCGAUUGCAUCUCCGAACGUUAUACGAGGGGGAGUUGUCGUUAUUCCGUUUUCCGGCGAUCCCGCCGCGUCGUUGCGCAUUCAUGUUUAAUAUUGACCACGCAAAUUUACGGCUCGACAACUGUAAAUCGCAUCCGGCGAUGCUUCCAGCGGGAAUCGGGCCUGCAGGAAGUAACCUGUGUUUUUGGAUCAACAAAUUAUUGCACCGAUAGUAAAAUCGUUGACGACGCAGGUUUAAAAUUACUGCUUUCAAUAUAUUUAUGCAAAGUAGAAAUUUUCUGUGUCGACGACACGAGACCAGAAGCUAAAUGGAAUAUUUCUUUCUUCAAUCACCUAUAGAUACUUAUGCAAAAUAGACAUUUUCUGUGUCAACUGCAUGAAUGGAAGCCAAGUAGAAUAUUUCUUUCUUCAAUCACCUGUAGAUACUUGUGCGAAAUAAAAAUUUUCUAUGUAAAUUGUACGAGAAGCCAAAUAGAAUCGAUUUUUCUUCGAUCAUUUAAGAAAGAACGAGACGAAUAAGAUAGAAGAUGUAGCAAAUAUCAAUGAAGACAUUUAGAACACGUUGGAUUGUUAAUAUUAGCUCAAUAAGCACAGUCGCUUGGAACGUCAUGAAUUUCAUUGUUUGCAACGUUACACGGCAAUUGGCUGGUUUCAGUCGACACGGAGCCAAUGAACUAAUAAACAAGGUAAAACCUCGAUUAUUACAAUCCGCGUAAGUGGUAAAUGCUGGAUAGAAAUGUUGGCGUGCAUUUCAGUAGGACGUCAACACGCGUGCGUGUGACUCGGUUGCCUUGAACCAAAAUCAUUGAGACAGAACAGACAUGAUCGUUUUAAUCAUGUUAAGCACUUUGUUUAUAUUAAUAACGACGAAAUCGUUUUCACUUGUUAAGCGAAACCAGUUUAUAGAUUAUAAUGCCACAUAGAAUUCAUUUCGAUUAAUCAACUUAACAAAGAUGAUCAGAGAUUAUGCAAUGUUAUAAACAUUAUAUCCGCGAU